rnacentral:rRNA from 1 species
UACGUAGGGUGCAAGCGUUGUCCGGAUUUAUUGGGUUUAAAGGGUGCGUAGGUGGCUCGUUAAGUCAGAGGUGAAAGUUGGCAGCUUAACUGUCAGACUGCCUUUGAUACUGACAGGCUUGAGUAGAGUGGAGGUAGCCGGAAUAUAUAAUGUAGCGGUGAAAUGCUUAGAUAUUAUAUAGAACACCCAUUGCGAAGGCAGGUUACUACACUCUCACUGACACUGAGGCACGAAAGCGUGGGUAUCAAACAGG